rnacentral:rRNA from 1 species
GAUCCUGGCUCAGGAUGAACGCUAGCUACAGGCUUAACACAUGCAAGUCGAGGGGAAACGACAUCGAAAGCUUGCUUUUGAUGGGCGUCGACCGGCGCACGGGUGAGUAACGCGUAUCCAACCUGCCCAUCACUUGGGAAUAACCUUNCGAAAGUAAGACUAAUGCCCAAUGAUAUCCCACGAAGGCAUCCGAAUGGGAUUAAAGAUUUAUCGGUGAUGGAUGGGGAUGCGUCUGAUUAG